UACGUAGGGUGCGAGCGUUAAUCGGAAUUACUGGGCGUAAAGCGUGCGCAGGCGGUUUUGUAAGUCAGAUGUGAAAUCCCCGGGCUUAACCUGGGAACUGCGUUUGAAACUACAAGGCUAGAGUGUAGCAGAGGGGGGUGGAAUUCCACGUGUAGCAGUGAAAUGCGUAGAGAUGUGGAGGAACACCGAUGGCGAAGGCGGCCACCUGGACCAGCACUGACACUGAGGCACGAAAGCGUGGGGAGCAAACAGG
rnacentral:rRNA from 1 species